UAGGGAAUCUUCCGCAAUGGACGAAAGUCUGACGGAGCAACGCCGCGUGAGUGAAGAAGGAUUUCGGUUCGUAAAACUCAGUUGUUAGGGAAGAAAAAAUGUAUAGUAACUAUAUACAAAAGAGACGGUACCUAACCAGAAAGCCACGGCUAACUACGUGCCAGCAGCCGCGGUAAUACGUAGGUGGCAAGCGUUGUCCGGAAUUAUUGGGCGUAAAGCGCGCGCAGGUGGUUUAGAAAGUCUGAUGUGAAAGCCCACGGCUCAACCGUGGAGGGUCAUUGGAAACUAAUAAACUUGAGUGCAGGAGAGAAAAGUGGAAUUCCUAGUGUAGCGGUGAAAUGCGUAGAGAUUAGGAGGAACACCGGUGGCGAAAGCGGCUUUUUGGCCUGCAACUGACACUGAGGCGCGAAAGCGUGGGGAGCAAACAGG
rnacentral:rRNA from 1 species